CUUAACUAGAAAGAAAGUGGAUAUGCCAAAAUGGAGACCAUUAUGAUAUCUCAAAAUUAAGAUAUAAUUGAAGAAACUAUCGAUAAUAUUUUUCAUGCUUUAUUUCAUUUCAUUUGCAUCAUCUUAAAGUACAAAACUAACGAGGUACGUGAAAUUAAAAAACCUAAAAGAAAAUUUAUUUAUUGGGUUACAUUAACUAAAUAAGAACUCAUGGAAUGUCCUGGUGUGCGGGUCUGACAAUCAUAUAAUCUUCCGAGAUCUAUAAUUAUUGUAAUACACAAAAACCUUUACGACACCUUAAUUUUUGAAUAGGUUUUCCAUUCCGGGGUUUUCCAAUCACUAGACAAUCACGAUCACGAAUACAUGGCAUGACAGCUGUAAUAUAAAAAGAGGGAAAAAAAUGUUAAUAAAAUGGGAUAAAAGUAUUGUUUAUGAAGUAAAAAAGGAAAUUUAAAAAGGAGAUAAAAAUGGUUUACGAAAUGGCGUUUGCAUUGAAAGAGGAAAUAGGAAAAGAAGGAUUAUCAUAACAUGAACAAAUUUGAAAAUUUUAUCCAUAUUUUUCACUCUUUUUCCAUGUAUCAAAUAGAAUUUUAUUUUUAUCACUUUGCAUGUUCUCCUUAUAUAAAUAAAAUAGUUUUUAAUACUUCUAGUUGUGAAAAGACUUUCAUUUUUUAUAAUUAUUAUAUGUCUCUUAAGUACAACAAUAUGUUAAUUUGC
rnacentral:lncRNA from 1 species